GGUGGGGGUGGCACACGCCUUUAAUC
rnacentral:misc_RNA from 1 species